CAGUAGCCGCGGGAAUACGUAGGGUGCAAGCGUUAAUCGGAAUUACUGGGCGUAAAGCGUGCGUAGGCGGUGAGUUAAGUCUGCUGUGAAAUCCCCGGGCUCAACCUGGGAAUGGCAGUGGAUACUGGCUCGCUAGAGUGUGUCAGAGGAUGGUGGAAUUCCCGGUGUAGCGGUGAAAUGCGUAGAGAUCGGGAGGAACAUCAGUGGCGAAGGCGGCCAUCUGGGACAACACUGACGCUGAGGCACGAAAGCGUGGGGAGCAAACAGGAUUAGAUACCCCCGUAGUCCCUGUCUCUUAUAC
rnacentral:rRNA from 1 species